UACGGAGGGUGCGAGCGUUGUCCGGAAUCACUGGGCGUAAAGGGCGCGUAGGUGGCGACCCAAGUCGAUGGUGAAAGCUCGCCGCUCAACGGCGAGUCGGCCACCGAUACUGGGUUGCUGGAGCACUGUAGAGGCAGAUGGAAUUCCGGGUGUAGCGGUGGAAUGCGUAGAGAUCCGGAAGAACACCGGUGGCGAAGGCGGUCUGCUGGGCAGUUGCUGACACUGAGGCGCGACAGCGUGGGGAGCAAACAGG
rnacentral:rRNA from 1 species